rnacentral:rRNA from 1 species
CAUAGUCUCUGGAUAUAGACCCGAAACCGAGUGAUCUAGCCAUGGGCAGGUUGAAGGUUGAGUAACAUCAACUGGAGGACCGAACCGACUAAUGUUGAAAAAUUAGCGGAUGACUUGUGGCUAGGGGUGAAAGGCCAAUCAAACUCGGAGAUAGCUGGUUCUCCCCGAAAGCUAUUUAGGUAGCGCCUCGGACGAAUACUACUGGGGGUAGAGCACUGUUAAGGCUAGGGGGUCAUCCCGACUUACCAACCCUUUGCAAACUCCGAAUACCAGUAAGUACUAUCCGGGAGACACACGGCGGGUGCUAACGUCCGUCGUGGAGAGGGAAACAACCCAGACCGCCAGCUAAGGUCCCAAAUUACAGCUAAGUGGGAAACGAUGUGGGAAGGCUUAGACAGCUAGGAUGUUGGCUUAGAAGCAGCCAUCAUUUAAAGAAAGCGUAAUAGCUCACUAGUCGAGUCGGCCUGCGCGGAAGAUGUAACGGGGCUAAGUUGUAAACCGAAGCUGCGGCAAUGUUCUAUGAACAUUGGGUAGGGGAGCGUUCUGUAAGCCGUUGAAGGUGUGUUGUAAAGCAUGCUGGAGGUAUCAGAAGUGCGAAUGCUGACAUGAGUAACGACAAGGGGGGUGAAAAACCUCCCCGCCGGAAGACCAAGGGUUCCUGUCCAACGUUAAUCGGGGCAGGGUAAGUCGACCCCUAAGGCGAGGCUGAAAAGCGUAGUCGAUGGGAAACGGGUUAAUAUUCCCGUACUUCUUACAAUUGCGAUGGGGGGACGGAGAAGGCUAGGUGGGCCUGGCGACGGUUGUCCAGGUUCAAGUGCGUAGGCUGAGUGUUUAGGUAAAUCCGGAUACUCUUAAGGCUGAGACACGACGUCGAGCUACUACGGUAGUGAAGUCAUUGAUGCCAUGCUUCCAGGAAAAGCCUCUAAGCUUCAGAUUGUAAGGAAUCGUACCCCAAACCGACACAGGUGGUCGGGUAGAGAAUACCAAGGCGCUUGAGAGAACUCGGGUGAAGGAACUAGGCAAAAUGGUACCGUAACUUCGGGAGAAGGUACGCUCUUGAUGGUGAAGUCCCUUGCGGAUGGAGCUGACGAGAGUCGCAGAUACCAGGUGGCUGCAACUGUUUAUUAAAAACACAGCACUGUGCAAAAUCGUAAGAUGACGUAUACGGUGUGACGCCUGCCCGGUGCCGGAAGGUUAAUUGAUGGGGUUAGCGUAAGCGAAGCUCUUGAUCGAAGCCCCGGUAAACGGCGGCCGUAACUAUAACGGUCCUAAGGUAGCGAAAUUCCUUGUCGGGUAAGUUCCGACCUGCACGAAUGGCGUAAUGAUGGCCACGCUGUCUCCACCCGAGACUCAGUGAAAUUGAAAUCGCUGUGAAGAUGCAGUGUACCCGCGGCUAGACGGAAAGACCCCGUGAACCUUUACUACAGCUUGGCACUGAACAUUGAACCUACAUGUGUAGGAUAGGUGGGAGGCUUUGAAGACGUGACGCCAGUUGCGUUGGAGCCGUCCUUGAAAUACCACCCUUGUAUGUUUGAUGUUCUAACGUUGGCCCCUAAUCGGGGUUGCGGACAGUGCCUGGUGGGUAGUUUGACUGGGGCGGUCUCCUCCCAAAGAGUAACGGAGGAGCACGAAGGUGGGCUAAUCACGGUUGGACAUCGUGAGGUUAGUGCAAUGGCAUAAGCCCGCUUAACUGCGAGAAUGACGGUUCGAGCAGGUGCGAAAGCAGGUCAUAGUGAUCCGGUGGUUCUGAAUGGAAGGGCCAUCGCUCAACGGAUAAAAGGUACUCCGGGGAUAACAGGCUGAUACCGCCCAAGAGUUCAUAUCGACGGCGGUGUUUGGCACCUCGAUGUCGGCUCAUCACAUCCUGGGGCUGAAGUCGGUCCCAAGGGUAUGGCUGUUCGCCAUUUAAAGUGGUACGCGAGCUGGGUUUAGAACGUCGUGAGACAGUUCGGUCCCUAUCUGCCGUGGGCGUUGGAAGAUUGAAGGGGGCUGCUCCUAGUACGAGAGGACCGGAGUGGACGAACCUCUGGUGUUCGGGUUGUGUCGCCAGACGCAUUGCCCGGUAGCUAAGUUCGGAAUCGAUAACCGCUGAAAGCAUCUAAGCGGGAAGCGAGCCCUGAGAUGAGUCUUCCCUGAUACUUUAAGUAUCCUGAAGGGUUGUUCGAGACUAGAACGUUGAUAGGCAGGGUGUGUAAGCGCUGUGAGGCGUUGAGCUAACCUGUACUAAUUGCCCGUGAGGCUUAACCAUACAACACCCAAAGGGUUUUG